rnacentral:rRNA from 1 species
UAUCAUGCAAGUCGAGCGAACAGACGAGGAGCUUGCUCCUCUGACGUUAGCGGCGGACGGGUGAGUAGCACGUGGAUAACCUACCUAUAAGACUGGGAUAGCUUCGGGAAACCGGAGCUAAUACCGGAUAAUAUAUUGAACCGCAUGGUCCAAUAGUGAAAGACGGUUUUGCUGUCACUUAUAGAUGGAUCCGCGCCGCAUUAGCUAGUUGGUAAGGUAACGGCUUACCAAGACAACGAUGCGUAGCCGACCUGAGAGGGUGAUCGGCCACACUGGAACUGAGACACGGUCCAGACUCCUACGGGAGGCAGCAGUAGGGAAUCUUCCGCAAUGGGCGAAAGCCUGACGGAGCAACGCCGCGUGAGUGAUGAAGGUCUUCGGAUCGUAAAACUCUGCUACUAGGGAAGAACAAAUGUGUAAGUAACUAUGCACGUCUUGACGGUACCUAAUCAGAAAGCCACGGCUAACUACGUGCCAGCAGCCGCGGUAAUACGUAGGUAGCAAGCGUUAUCCGGAAUUAUUGGGCGUAAAGCGCGCGUAGGUGGUUUUUUAAGUCUGAUAUGAAAGCCCACGGCUCAACCGUGGAGGGUCAUUGGAAACUGGAAAACUUGAGUGCAGAAGAGGAAAGUGGAAUUCCAUGUGUAGCGGUGAAAUGCGCAGAGAUAUGGAGGAACACCAGUGGCGAAGGCGACUUUCUGGUCUGUAACUGACGCUGAUGUGCGAGAGCGUGGAGAUCAAACAGGAUUAGAUACCCUGGUAGUCCACGCCGUAAACGAUGAGUGCUAAGUGUUAAGGGGUUUCCGCCCCUUAGUGCUGCAGCUAACGCAUUAAGCACUCCGCCUGGGGAGUACGACCGCAAGGCUGAAACUCAAUGGAAUUGACGGGG